rnacentral:rRNA from 1 species
CGGCCACAUUGGGACUGAGAUACGGCCCAGACUCCUACGGGAGGCAGCAGUGGGGAAUAUUGGGCAAUGGGCGCAAGCCUGACCCAGCAACGCCGCGUGAAGGAAGAAGGCUUUCGGGUUGUAAACUUCUUUUAAGAGGGAAGAGCAGAAGACGGUACCUCUAGAAUAAGCCACGGCUAACUACGUGCCAGCAGCCGCGGUAAUACGUAGGUGGCAAGCGUUGUCCGGAUUUACUGGGUGUAAAGGGCGUGCAGCCGGGUCUGCAAGUCAGAUGUGAAAUCCAUGGGCUCAACCCAUGAACUGCAUUUGAAACUGUAGAUCUUGAGUGUCGGAGGGGCAAUCGGAAUUCCUAGUGUAGCGGUGAAAUGCGUAGAUAUUAGGAGGAACACCAGUGGCGAAGGCGGAUUGCUGGACGAUAACUGACGGUGAGGCGCGAAAGUGUGGGGAGCAAACAGGAUUAGAUACCCUGGUAGUCCACACUGUAAACGAUGAAUACUAGGUGUGCGGGGACUGACCCCCUGCGUGCCGCAGUUAACACAAUAAGUAUUCCACCUGGGGAGUACGAUCGCAAGGUUGAAACUCAAAGGAAUUGACGGGGGCCCGCACAAGCGGUGGAUUAUGUGGUUUAAUUCGAAGCAACGCGAAGAACCUUACCAGGGUUUGACAUCCUGCUAACGAAGUAGAGAUACAUUAGGUGCCCUUCGGGGAAAGCAGAGACAGGUGGUGCAUGGUUGUCGUCAGCUCGUGUCGUGAGAUGUUGGGUUAAGUCCCGCAACGAGCGCAACCC